UAUUGUGGCAGUAGUGGAGGGGGAUUAGGCAACUCCCUUCUCUCCUCUCAGGCCUGCUGGGUAAAGAUGAAUAUCUCCAGCAUCUCUAAGAGCCGAUCGACAUCCUCCCCAAAUAAUUCCUCCCGAACUACUCUAUUUAGGGGUCUUCCUAUCCUCGUGUCUUUGUACCUACAUUUCACAACAAAUGUUUGAGAUUCGGGUUGUGUUGAAUUAUUCUAACCCUAUAUGUAAGGAAUGGUUCCGAGGAACGCGACUCUGAUACCAACUAUAAAGG
rnacentral:lncRNA from 1 species